rnacentral:ribozyme from 1 species
UUUUUUUUUUUUUUUUUUUUUUUUUUCCAUUU